rnacentral:rRNA from 1 species
AGCAUCCGCGGUAACACCAGCGCCAUGAGUGGCAAUCAUAAUUAUUGGGCCUAAAGCGUCCGUAGCCGGUUUGAUCCGUCUUUUGUGAAAUCGUUGCGCUUAACGUAACGCUGUGCAAAAGAUACAGUCAGACUUGGUAACUGGAGAGGAGUCGGAGGUAUUCUGGGGGGAGCGGUAAAAUGCUAUAAUCCCUGGAGGACCACCUGUGGCGAAAGCGUCCGACUAGAACAGCUUCGACGGUGAGGGACGAAAGCCAGGGGAGCGAACCGGAUUAGAUACCCGAGUAGUCCUGGCCAUAAACGCUGCGAGCAAGGUGUUACACAUUCUACUUGAAUGUGUAGUGUCGAAAUGAAGAUGUUAAGCUCGCCGCCUGGGAAGUAUGGUCGCAAGGCUGAAACUUAAAGGAAUUGGCGGGGGAGCACCACAAGGGGUGCGGCGUGCGGUUUAAUCUAAUUCAACGCAGAGAAUCUCACCAGCAGCGACGGCAGGAUGAAGGUCAGUCUGAAGGGCUUACCUGACGAGCCGAGAGGUAGUGCAUGGCCAUCGUCAGCUCGUGCUGUAAAGUGUCCUGUUAAGUCAGGCAACGAGCGAGACCUGUAUCCACAAUUGCUAACAACUCUUUUAAGAGAAUUGUGCACAUUGUGGGAACUGCCCUCGAAAGGGGGAGGAAGGUGCAGGCUACGGUAGGUCUGUACGCUCCGAAUCUGCUGGGCUACACGCGCGCAACAAUGGUAAGGACAAUGUGAUGCGACUCUGAAAAGAGAAGCUAAUCCUCGAAACCUUAUCUAAGUUCAGAUUGGGGACUGUAAUUCGUCCUCAUGACGCUGGAAUCCCUAGUAAUCAGACGUCAUCAUCGUCUGGUGAAUAUGUCCCUGCUCCU